rnacentral:rRNA from 1 species
ACAGUGGACGCGAGCAUCUUUGUUGUAAGUAAUGAAGAGCGUACGGUGGAUGCCUUGGCACCAGGAGCCGAUGAAGGACGUAGGAGGCUGCGAUAAGCCUCGGGGAGCUGUCAACCGAGCUGAGAUCCGAGGGUGUCCGAAUGGGGAAACCCAGCACGAGUGAUGUCGUGUUACCUGCACCUGAAUAUAUAGGGUGUGUGGAGGGAACGUGGGGAAGUGAAACAUCUCAGUACCCACAGGAAGAGAAAACAACAGUGAUUCCGUCAGUAGUGGCGAGCGAACGCGGAAGAGGCCAAACCAUGUGCAUGUGAUACCCGGCAGGGGUUGUGCGUGUGGGGUUGUGGGGUUUGUCUUGUCGAUUCUGCCGGAUCGGCCGACAGUAAGAAAUCAUGUGGUUAGUCGAAGUGGUCUGGGAUGGCCUGUCGUAGAGGGUGAGAGUCCCGUAGACGAAAACUGUGUGACUGUCGUGAUGAAUGCCCAAGUAGCAGCGGGCCCGUGAAAUCUGCUGUGAAUCUGUCGGGACCACCCGAUAAGCCUGAAUACUCCCUGGUGACCGAUAGCGGACUAGUACCGUGAGGGAAAGGUGAAAAGUACCCCGGGAGGGGAGUGAAAUAGUACCUGAAACCGUGCGCUUACAAUCCGUCAGAGCCUUCGAGUGACUUGUCACUGGGGGUGAUGGCGUGCCUUUUGAAGAAUGAGCCUGCGAGUUAGUGGUAUGUGGCGAGGUUAACCCGUGUGGGGUAGCCGUAGCGAAAGCGAGUCCGAAUAGGGCGUUCCAGUCGCAUGCUCUAGACCCGAAGCGGAGUGAUCUACCCAUGGCCAGGGUGAAGCGACGGUAAGACGUCGUGGAGGCCCGAACCCACUUAGGUUGAAAACUGAGGGGAUGAGUUGUGGGUAGGGGUGAAAGGCCAAUCAAACUCCGUGAUAGCUGGUUCUCCCCGAAAUGCAUUUAGGUGCAGCGUCGCGUGUUUCAUCCUGGAGGUAGAGCUACUGGAUGGUCUAGAGGGCCCACAAGCUUAUCGAAAUCAGCCAAACUCCGAAUGCCAGGAUGUGAGAGCGCGGCAGUGAGACUGCGGGCGAUAAGGUUCGUAGUCGAGAGGGAAACAGCCCAGAUCGCCGGCUAAGGCCCCUAAGCGUGUACUAAGUGGAAAAGGAUGUGAAGUCGCGAAGACAACCAGGAGGUUGGCUUAGAAGCAGCCACCCUUGAAAGAGUGCGUAAUAGCUCACUGGUCAAGUGAUUUUGCGCCGACAAUGUAGCGGGGCUCAAGUACACCGCCGAAGCCGCGGCAUUCGCACAAUAGCCCCCGGUUCCCUUGCGAGGGUUCCGGCAGGUGUGUGGAUGGGUAGGGGAGCGUCGUGUGGCCAGGGAAGCGCCGGAGUGAUCCAGGUGUGGAGGCCACGCGAGUGAGAAUGCAGGCAUGAGUAGCGAAAGACGAGUGAGAAACUCGUCCGCCGAAUGAUCAAGGGUUCCUGGGCCAGGUUAAUCCGCCCAGGGUGAGUCGGGACCUAAGGCGAGGCCGACAGGCGUAGUCGAUGGACAACGGGUUGAUAUUCCCGUACCCGUGUAUCCGCGCCCAUGAUGAAUCAGGAGUACUAACCGUCCAGAGCCACNCGAGGCCGACAGGCGUAGUCGAUGGACAACGGGUUGAUAUUCCCGUACCCGUGUAUCCGCGCCCAUGAUGAAUCAGGAGUACUAACCGUCCAGAGCCACCAGGAGCACCUUCGGGUGCCGGGUGUGGUGAUGCACGGGACCUUUCCUGGUAGUAGUCAAGCGAUGGGGUGACGCAGGAAGGUAGCUGAGCCAGUCAGUGGUAACACUGGUGUAAGCCUGUAGGGCGAGACCUAGGCAAAUCCGGGUCUCACAUAAGCCUGAGAGGUGAUGCAUAGCCGAAUGAGGCGAAUUCAGUGAUCCUAUGCUGCCGAGAAAAGCCUCUAGCGAGCUGGUACACGGCCCGUACCCCAAACCGACACAGGUGAUCAGGUAGAGAAUACCAAGGCGAUCGAGAUAACUAUGGUUAAGGAACUCGGCAAAAUGCCCCCGUAACUUCGGGAGAAGGGGGACCCCUGCUGGUGAUCACUCUUGCAGUGUGAGCUGGUGUGGGUCGCAGAGACCAGUGAGAAGCGACUGUUUACUAAAAACACAGGUCCGUGCGAAGUCGUAAGACGAUGUAUACGGACUGACGCCUGCCCGGUGCUGGAAGGUUAAGAGGACCGGUUAGUUCCUUCGGGAGCGAAGCUGAGAAUUUAAGCCCCAGUAAACGGCGGUGGUAACUAUAACCAUCCUAAGGUAGCGAAAUUCCUUGUCGGGUAAGUUCCGACCUGCACGAAUGGCGUAACGACUUCUCAGCUGUCUCAACCAUAGACUCGGCGAAAUUGCAUUACGAGUAAAGAUGCUCGUUACGCGCGGCAGGACGAAAAGACCCCGGGACCUUCACUACAGCUUGGUAUUGGUGUUCGGUUCGGUUUGUGUAGGAUAGGUGGGAGACUGUGAAGCAUGCACGCCAGUGUGUGUGGAGUCGUUGUUGAAAUACCACUCUGAUCGUAUUGGAUACCUCAACCUCGGACCAUGAUCUGGUUCAGGGACAGUGCCUGGUGGGUAGUUUAACUGGGGCGGUUGCCUCCCAAAAUGUAACGGAGGCGCCCAAAGGUUCCCUCAGCCUGGUUGGCAAUCAGGUGUCGAGUGCAAGUGCACAAGGGAGCUUGACUGUGAGACUGACAAGUCGAGCAGGGACGAAAGUCGGGACUAGUGAUCCGGCACCGGCAAGUGGAAGCGGUGUCGCUCAACGGAUAAAAGGUACCCCGGGGAUAACAGGCUGAUCUUCCCCAAGAGUCCAUAUCGACGGGAUGGUUUGGCACCUCGAUGUCGGCUCGUCGCAUCCUGGGGCUGGAGUAGGUCCCAAGGGUUGGGCUGUUCGCCCAUUAAAGCGGCACGCGAGCUGGGUUUAGAACGUCGUGAGACAGUUCGGUCUCUAUCCGCCGCGCGCGUCAGAAACUUGAGGAAGGCUGUCCCUAGUACGAGAGGACCGGGACGGACGAACCUCUGGUGUGCCAGUUGUUCCACCAGGAGCACCGCUGGUUAGCUACGUUCGGAAGGGAUAACCGCUGAAAGCAUCUAAGCGGGAAGCCUGUUCCAAGAUGAGGUUUCUCACCCCCUCGAGGGGGUAAGGCCCCCGGCAGACCACCGGGUUGAUAGGCCAGAACUGGAAGCCCAGCAAUGGGUGCAGGUGACUGGUACUAAUAGGCCGAGGACUUACCACAA